GACGAACGCUGGCGGCGUGCUUAACACAUGCAAGUCGAACGGAAAGGCCCUGCUUUUGUGGGGUGCUCGAGUGGCGAACGGGUGAGUAACACGUGAGUAACCUGCCCUUGACUUUGGGAUAACUUCAGGAAACUGGGGCUAAUACCGGAUAGGAGCUCCUGCUGCAUGGUGGGGGUUGGAAAGUUUCGGCGGUUGGGGAUGGACUCGCGGCUUAUCAGCUUGUUGGUGGGGUAGUGGCUUACCAAGGCUUUGACGGGUAGCCGGCCUGAGAGAGUGACCGGCCACAUUGGGACUGAGAUACGGCCCAGACUCCUACGGGAGGCAGCAGUGGGGAAUAUUGCACAAUGGGCGGAAGCCUGAUGCAGCAACGCCGCGUGCGGGAUGACGGCCUUCGGGUUGUAAACCGCUUUCGCCUGUGACGAAGCGUGAGUGACGGUAAUGGGUAAAGAAGCACCGGCUAACUACGUGCCAGCAGCCGCGGUGAUACGUAGGGUGCGAGCGUUGUCCGGAUUUAUUGGGCGUAAAGGGCUCGUAGGUGGUUGAUCGCGUCGGAAGUGUAAUCUUGGGGCUUAACCCUGAGCGUGCUUUCGAUACGGGUUGACUUGAGGAAGGUAGGGGAGAAUGGAAUUCCUGGUGGAGCGGUGGAAUGCGCAGAUAUCAGGAGGAACACCAGUGGCGAAGGCGGUUCUCUGGGCCUUUCCUGACGCUGAGGAGCGAAAGCGUGGGGAGCGAACAGGCUUAGAUACCCUGGUAGUCCACGCUGUAAACGGUGGGUACUAGGUGUGGGGUCCAUUCCACGGGUUCCGUGCCGUAGCUAACGCUUUAAGUACCCCGCCUGGGGAGUACGGCCGCAAGGCUAAAACUCAAAGGAAUUGACGGGGCCCCGCACAAGCGGCGGAGCAUGCGGAUUAAUUCGAUGCAACGCGUAGAACCUUACCUGGGUUUGACAUGGAUCGGGAGUGCUCAGAGAUGGGUGUGCCUCUUUUGGGGUCGGUUCACAGGUGGUGCAUGGCUGUCGUCAGCUCGUGUCGUGAGAUGUUGGGUUAAGUCCCGCAACGGGCGCAACCCUUGUUCACUGUUGCCAGCACGUUAUGGUGGGGACUCAGUGGAGACCGCCGGGGUCAACUCGGAGGAAGGUGGGGAUGACGUCAAGUCAUCAUGCCCCUUAUGUCCAGGGCUUCACGCAUGCUACAAUGGCUGGUACAGAGAGUGGCGAGCCUGUGAGGGUGAGCGAAUCUCGGAAAGCCGGUCUCAGUUCGGAUUGGGGUCUGCAACUCGACCUCAUGAAGUCGGAGUCGCUAGUAAUCGCAGAUCAGCAACGCUGCGGUGAAUACGUUCCCGGG
rnacentral:rRNA from 1 species